GACGAACGCUGGCGGCGUGCUUAACACAUGCAAGUCGAACGGUGAAGGGAUCAGCUUGCUGGUUCUGGAUGAGUGGCGAACGGGUGAGUAACACGUGAGUAACCUGCCCCCUUCUUCUGGAUAACCGCAUGAAAGUGUGGCUAAUACGGGAUAUUCUGCGCCUGCUGCAUGGUGGGUGUGGGAAAGAUAUUGUUUCGGUGGGGGAUGGGCUCGCGGCCUAUCAGCUUGUUGGUGGGGUGAUGGCCUACCAAGGCGGUGACGGGUAGCCGGCCUGAGAGGGUGGACGGUCACACUGGGACUGAGACACGGCCCAGACUCCUACGGGAGGCAGCAGUGGGGAAUAGUGCACAAUGGGCGCAAGCCUGAUGCAGCGACGCCGCGUGAGGGAGGGAGGCCUUCGGGGUGUGAACCUCUUUCGCCAGUGAAGCAGGCCUGUCCCUUGUGGGUGGGUUGACGGUAGCUGGAGAAGAAGCGCCGGCUAACUACGUG
rnacentral:rRNA from 1 species